UGCAAGUCGAGCGAUGAAGCACCUUCGGGUGUGAAUUAGCGGCGAACGGGUGAGGAACACGUGAAGAAUCUGCCUUCAACUCUGGGAUAACUCCGGGAAACCGGGGCUAAUACCGGAUAUGAGCCUUGAUCGCAUGAUCGGGGCUGGAAAGUUUUUCGGUUGAAGAUGACUUCGCGGCCUAUCAGCUUGUUGGUGAGGUAAUGGCUCACCAAGGCGACGACGGGUAGCCGGCCUGAGAGGGCGACCGGCCACACUGGGACUGAGACACGGCCCAGACUCCUACGGGAGGCAGCAGUGGGGAAUAUUGGGCAAUGGAGGAAACUCUGACCCAGCGACGCCGCGUGAGGGAUGAAGGCCUUCGGGUUGUAAACCUCUUUCAGUAGGGAAGAAGCGAAAGUGACGGUACCUACAGAAGAAGCACCGGCUAACUAUGUGCCAGCAGCCGCGGUAAUACAUAGGGUGCAAGCGUUGUCCGGAAUUAUUGGGCGUAAAGAGCUCGUAGGUGGUUCGAUACGUCGGAUGUGAAAAUCAGGGGCUCAACCCCUGACCUGCAUCCGAUACGGUCGAGCUAGAGUUUGGUAGGGGAGACUGGAAUUCCUGGUGUAGCGGUGGAAUGCGCAGAUAUCAGGAGGAACACCGAUGGCGAAGGCAGGUCUCUGGGCCAAUACUGACACUGAGGAGCGAAAGCGUGGGGAGCGAACAGGAUUAGAUACCCUGGUAGUCCACGCCGUAAACGGUGGGCGCUAGUUGUGCGAACCUUCCACGGUUUGUGCGACGCAGCUAACGC
rnacentral:rRNA from 1 species